GUACUUGCUUCAGCAGCACAUACACUAAAAUUGGAACUAUACAGAGAAGAUCAGCAUGGCCCCUGUGCAAGGAUGACAUGCAAAUUCAUGAAGUGUUCCAUAUUUUU
rnacentral:snRNA from 1 species